rnacentral:tRNA from 1 species
UAUACCUUAGUAUAAUAUGUGCAUUAAACUUUGAUUUUAAAGGUGUUAAAUUAUUUUAACAGGUGUAU